UAAUGUUUGUGUGGUCUCUUUAAGGGAUAACCAAGUAAAUUAUAAAAACGAGGGACGAAAAUGAAUUGAUACGAAAUUGUGGAGGGACGAAGCGUAACUCAAACCUAAUCGAUUAACUAUUGAAUCCGACGUGCGACAAUCAAGCUCCACAUAAACAUGAAACUGGAACUAUUUAUCAUUUAUUGUCAUGCUUGAAAAUGGAAAUUAGACCUGUUGGACAAGACUUUACAGAUAUCGGUAGAGGACAUGCUAUAAACCAAAAUCAUGGCCACAGACAAACAAGAAGUUGAAGCCUUUUUAGAAACAAAAGGAACUGAUGAAAUUGAUGGCCGCCCAGAUUACCGUCAGAUGCCCAGUCAUGUCAGCUCGGUCACAACAGAAGACGUCCUUCCUGGAAACGAGCGCAUCAUCCACAUCAACAGCACACAGGCAGCCAAGUUCUGCUCCAACAAAAUAUGCACUGCCAAGUACAGCUUCAUAUCGUUCCUACCAAAGUUCCUUUUUGAGCAGUUCCGUCGCUAUGCCAACAUAUUCUUCCUAUUCAUAGCUCUUCUACAGCAAAUCCCACAAGUUUCCCCUACUGGUCGCUACACCACUGCUGUUCCACUGCUCCUCAUUCUCUCAGUGUCUGCUAUGAAGGAAAUUAUUGAAGACUAUAAACGUCAUAAAGCGGAUGACCAAGUCAACAACAGGAAAGUGCUAGUGUUACGCAAUGGAGAUUUUCAGCAUGUGAAAUGGAAGGAGGUUGUGAUUGGUGACAUUGUGAAGGUGGUCAAUGGACAGUUCUUUCCUGCAGAUCUCAUCCUUCUAUCAUCCAGUGAACCACAGGCCAUGUGUUACAUUGAGACGUCCAAUCUGGACGGGGAAACCAACUUGAAAAUCAGACAGGGUCUACCGCAGACAGGGAAGCUGCUGACCAAAGAUGAUUUGACAGCCCUAUAUGGUAACAUAGAGUGUGAACCCCCAAACAGGCACUUGCUGGACUUUGUGGGCAACAUACGGCCUGCCAGGCUGCAAGCCAUACCUCUGGGACCAGACCAGCUGUUAUUACGUGGUGCCAUGCUGAGGAACACUAAUUGGAUUUUUGGUAUUGUUGUGUACACUGGACCGGAGAGCAAACUGAUGUUGAACUCAACCUCGGCUCCACUGAAACGCUCCAAUGUUGAGAAAGUCACAAACAUGCAGAUCCUGUUCCUAUUUGGUAUACUGUUGCUGCUCUCACUGAUUUGUACCUUCGCCCAGAUGUUGUGGACACAAAAACACGAAAAUACUCACUGGUACCUUGGAUUUACAGAUUUGCCAGCGAGUAACUUUGGUUACAACUUGCUGACCUUCAUCAUCCUGUUCAACAACCUCAUCCCCAUUAGUCUGCAGGUGACCUUGGAGUUGGUCAAGUUCAUACAGGCCAUCUUUAUCAACUGGGAUAACGAUAUGUUCUGUAAUGAGACUCAGACGCCUGCCAUGGCUCGAACCUCCAACCUCAAUGAAGAACUGGGUCAGAUAAAAUACAUCUUCUCAGACAAAACAGGGACGUUAACAAGAAACAUGAUGAACUUCAGAAAAUGUUCAAUAGCUGGAAUCAUUUACGGGGAUAAUGAAGAAAGCCUGGAAUCAUUUAAAGAUGACAGCCUUAUUGCAAAUCUGAAAGCAUCACAUAGCACGGCCCCUGAGAUUCGGGAGUUUUUGACGUUGAUGGCGGUGUGUCAUACAGUGGUGCCAGAGAGGAAUAAAGAAGACGGGACAAUUGCAUACCAGGCGUCAUCUCCAGAUGAAGCGGCCCUUGUUAAGGGUGCCAAGCAAAUGGGGUUUGUCUUCUCCACUAGGACACCUGAUGCCGUCACCAUUGAUGUGUUUGGUAAACAAGAAAGAUAUGAAAUCCUGAAUGUUCUAGAAUUUACCAGCGACAGGAAACGCAUGUCAGUGGUGGUCCGGACACCUGAGGGGAAGAUAAAGCUGUAUUGCAAAGGAGCUGAUACAGUGAUCUACGAGCGUCUCGAGUCCAGCAAGCAGUACAGUGAGAUAACUCUGCAGCACCUGGAGCAGUUUGCACACAUUGGGUUACGUACCCUGUGCAUUGCAGUGACUGACAUUACGGAGGAAGUGUACGAGGAAUGGAAGCACACAUACUACAAGGCCAGUACAUCCUUGCAGAACAGGGACCGCAAACUGGAGGAGGCUGCGGAACUCAUUGAAAAUAACCUAAGUCUACUUGGUGCAACAGCUAUUGAAGACAAACUACAGGAGGGUGUCCCGGAGACAAUUGCUAACUUGGCAAAGGCAGAUAUCAAGAUCUGGAUCCUAACUGGUGAUAAACAAGAGACUGCAAUUAACAUUGGUUACUCGUGUAAACUGCUCAGAGAGGGCAUGCCAUUGCUUAUUGUCAAUGAAUUCAAUCUGGAUGGUACACGUGAGAAGCUACGUAAGCACGUGGAGGAUUUUGGAGAGUCGCUACGCAAGGACAACGAGGUGGCGCUCAUCAUUGAUGGCAAGACGUUGAAGUAUGCCCUAUCUUGUGACUGUCGACAAGAUUUCCUGGAUAUUGCCAUCUCAUGUAGAGCUGUCAUUUGCUGUAGAGUGUCACCUCUGCAAAAGGCAGAGUUAGUGGAACUGGUGAAGAAAUCCUGCAAGGCCAUCACACUGGCAAUUGGUGACGGCGCUAACGAUGUGGGCAUGAUCCAGGCAGCAGAUGUCGGCGUCGGCAUCAGCGGGGUGGAGGGAUUGCAGGCGGCUUGUGCCUCGGACUACGCAAUAGCUCAGUUCCGGUUCCUGAACAAGCUGCUACUGGUACACGGUGCCUGGAGCUAUAACCGCCUCUGUAAGCUGAUCCUUUACUCCUUCUACAAGAACAUCUGUCUCUAUGUCAUUGAGUUCUGGUUUGCUUUGCAAAAUGGCUUUUCUGGUCAGAUUCUCUUUGAAAGAUGGACAAUUGGAUUUUACAAUGUGAUUUUUACUGCUGCGCCACCCCUGGCCAUGGGACUGUUUGACCGGAGCAUCAGCGCAGAAAACAGAAUCAAAUUUCCAGAGUUGUAUAAGUCGUCACAAAAUGCUCAACAAUUUAAUGUUAAAGUAUUCUGGAUGUGGAUUGCAAACUCCAUAUACCACUCUAUAUUGCUCUUCUGGAUGCCAAUGCUGGCUUUAAAUCAAGAUAUAGCAUUUUCCGAUGGCAAGGUUGGAAGUUAUUUAUUUAACGGGAACUUUGUUUAUACAUAUGUGGUAGUCACUGUUUGUUUAAAAGCUGGUCUGGAAACAACUGCUUGGACAUGGUUAACCCACCUGGCAAUAUGGGGAAGUAUAGUCAGCUGGUUCCUGUUCCUCAUUGUGUACAGUCAUGUGUUUCCUCAAAUAAACCUGGCACCAGAAAUGCUGGGAAUGGACCGGAUGGUGCUGGGGUGCUCUGUGUUCUGGAUGGGACUGCUCCUGAUCCCCUUCACCUGCCUGCUGAGAGACAUCGCAUGGAAAGUUGUGCGACGCACGAUGUGCAAGACCCUAAAAGAGAAAGUACAAGAGGCAGAAAUAGCUCAUGUGGACCCAACUACAAUUGUGUUACGCUCAACAAAGAAAAAGUUGACAGAGACUGCGAGGUUGUUGCGCAACGUGUUUUCUCGCUCCAUGAACAGAGUUCCCCCUCAUGAUCAGCCACCACUAACACAGGAUGUAGUGGUGAUAUAGCAUUCAAAGGGAUGGCUUUGCCUUCUCCCAGGAAGAGCAUGGCUCCAUUGCCCAGGCGGAACUUAUCAGAGUUUACGACACAACUAAAGAGAAGCCACAGGGUCAAUAAAUGGGGAGUUCGAGAGAGGGGCAGUUCCAAGCACCUACGUUUAAAUGCGGUGUUUUGGGUGCACUUGAAAAGGGUAUUGUAUACUCAAUGGAUCAAGGUUGACCAGCCAGUGAUAGCACUAAGAUGUCAACCCUUACCAACAAGGAUGCUGCAUAUAGCAAGCUUUUAAGUGCUGUAACUAAGAAAGUUAUAAGAAAUUUCAGAAAAUAAAAGAGAACUUUUGAGAGAUGUUAAAUUCCUCAAAACUUUGAAUUGCUUAUUUAAAUGUUAUUUAUUUUUAAAUAAUUGAUUUUUAAAUAAAAACCUGGGUGUUUUUUAUUUAAUCAUAUGAGCUUGUCAUGCGAAAAAUAGGUUUUAUUCCAUAUGGGGCUAGGGUAGCUCAUGACUUAGCAGCGCAGUCUGGUCAGGAACUCCCCUGUCGACAUUAAGUACUGCAUGGCUUACUGUUCUCAUUAGUGGACAGGAUAGCUCCUCACCAUUAUGUGCGGAUGCACAGGCUGGUCUAGAGAUUUACAGGCAGCUUGGGGCAUAACACUCAUUUCUCCAUAACUCGGCUCAUAUUUCAAUUGAAAUAGAUUUAUAGCAUUAUAUUUAUUUCAUAUUUUUAUGGAUAAUUUAAAAUAUACCUUAGUAAGAAGUUUAAUGAAACUUGCCUAUAGAAACUUAUCCUGGAAAGAUAUGAAGCUUCUUGCCUUGCCUGUAGGUUUGGCCUUGUAUACGCAAAAAAUUAGGAAAACAAUAUUUAUUUGCAAAUGUUUUGUUUUGUAUUGUUUUUGAUUUAUGGUGAUAACAUACUAUUUAAAUUUUUAGUAAAUAGAUAAUGGUUACAUGUGUAUUUGCAAAUUAAAUGCACUUGCAUACAUUCUAGUUUCAACCAGAUUCAACAUUAUAGUAAGUGUCACCCUUUUCAUGCCCCCGGAUCGAAUGUAUUGUUUUUGGCCUGUCCAUUUUGAGUGGUGAAAGGUCAAGGUCAACCUUCAAGGUCAAAGGUCAAAUAUAUGGCUUCAAAGUGGAGCAGUAGGGGGCAUUGUGUUUCACAAACACAGCUCUUGUUUAUAAUAAAUAUUAUUGUUAUUGUUUAUCCACUUAUAAAUUAAAGUAUUUUAUUUACCUACAUAUAAAUUGGUGUCUACUAUAGGCUUCCAUAAAUAAAAUAUAGAUUCUUAAUAAAGUAUUUGAAUGUUUAUGUGCGGGGUAUUUCAACAUUAUCAUAUUGGCUGUGUUCUGGUAACGCUUCAUUCAAAGUUGUCCAAGGCUGAAUCUGUGAUGACUCUCAGCCUACACUGGAUUGUCUUUUAGAAGAGACUUUGUUUAAACAACAAAAUUCAAUACAAGUUGAAAGUGAUAUCCUUGAUAAGCUUCUACUUACUGCGCAGGCUACACUGGGAUUACAAAUAACAGACCAGCGUUGCACCUGGUUUUCCAAGAACGCUUCUCAUAUAAAGGGGCUGUACAAAUAAGAAGACAAGUAAUUAUGCUGAAUAUUUUUCAAGUUGUUAGAGUUUGAUUAACAGAUUUUUUAAGUGUUUUGUUUAGUUCAUACCACGGAGUGUAUAUUGACGGACUCUAGAUUACACGGAUAAGAAACGGGAUCGUUACACCAAAUAUCUUGUUGUGUCUAAGUCACGUGACCGUGUCGUAACUAUCGAUCUUUUAUCGAAGCGCCGAGGUUAUAAAUUUGAUGUACCCACUCACGUAUUUUGUUAAAUUAUAGUUUCAUUUCUAGACCGAUUUUGACAAUUUAUAUAUCAUUAGAAAGCUUACGUAACGUAGUUUUCAGAUAAAUAAAUAUAUAUUAAGUUUUUCCUCUGAUUUCGGCAGCCCGGCGAGUUGUAACUUUAACUUUUGCAAAUAUCAUACCGUUCUGGAGUUUUAGAAUCUAGAUUUACGAUUGACAUGUUCGUACUUAAUACCGAUUUGUAGCGUUUAUAUUUGGAGUUCAGUUUUAAAAAUAACAUCUUGCUUAGGAGAAUAGAAUUAUGUAUAUGAUAGAGAAAAAAAUGGUUUAAAAAUCAAAACAAGUAAGGAAUGAAGGCGGAAAAAAGUAGCGCGCGGUCCUAACGAACCGAACUGAUGCUAAGGUCUUGGCGAUUAUGCUUUUGUUUAGAUACCGGCCAUUGAAUUUCCUUUGCCAUGAUUAUUAUAUUUUUUAUGAAAUAUAUUGAAAUAUUUUGUUCUAGAGACAUAUUAAUAAAGCUAAGUAUUAUUGAAGCUUAAUAAAUUAACGAUUUCAGCUCUUGAUUAUAACACAGAAAGGGUGUUAAUUUUAUGAUGAAACAGCGUAUAUAGCGGACCCUCUUGAUAUUUUUCGGCUUUGCAUACUUCAAAUAUAAUGUAUAACCUCGGCGCUUCGCUGUACGCUGAUUGUAAAAAAUCGAUAGCCACAACACGUUAAAACGCGCGGUGGUAAAACAUAAAAUGUGUAUUUCUUGUGUUUAACUCGCUAUAAAUCCAUUAAUAACAACGGGAAUAUACUAAAAGUUAUAUUUUUUUGAAAGAGGAAUUAAUAAGCAACACGAUGACGUACAAACCAAUAAAAUCGGAUGAAUAGUUUUUUGCAUAAGAUUGAAUUUACUACAGUAAGGGUCAAAUACUCGAUUCAUCUCCUGUCAAUAUACACUCCGUGUAAUCUAGAGUCCGUGGUUCAUACACUCCCCUUAAAGUCCUGAUUUAAAAGAAUCAAUGUUAAUACAAUGUAUAAUUGCUGGUAUGUUUAAAUUGUCCUCAAGCUAAUUAUAUUUUAUUUUAUAAGGGUAUAUGUUUUGAUUUGAAAGUUUGUAUUUCCUUCCUUGUGUAUAAAGCAGAUUGUGUACAUGCACUUGUCAUUCUGUCUGUUCAUAAUUAAGAAUCUUGUAUUAUCAAGCAGUAUUUUUUGCUUACAAUAAAUACUUAUUAGAAAUCCAGUAUAUAACAUGUUAUAUAGACGCUAUAUUUAGGAUGAAGUGUAAAAUGCAUAUAUAAAUAAUAUUUAUUUCAUCAUUAAUGUGUAUUUUAUUUUUUCAAUGAAUAAGAAAGAUGGAAAUGUUCAUGAAGUAUCAAGCAGAGUUCUAAUUUUUGUGAAGAGAUAUUAAUAAUCUACUUGUGUUUUUUAAAUAGAUGCAAUAUAAGCUCUGUGUUAAAGUGUUGCGCAUGUAACUACCUUAUUUCACAAAGAAAUGUUUUUAGAUACAAGAGUUUUAUGUUUUAACUUUGCUGUGUUGGUUGUGAAACUGACUUGCCUGGUCAGUAGUGAAUGUAAUCAAAGCGCUGAAGGCACUGAAGUUGUUCACUAUUGUUGUCCUUUUCAUGAUCAUUAGUUGUUCUUUGGCAAAGAAGUCUUUGCUGUACUGUAUUAAGAUGCUGAAUACAAUAAUUGAGCCAUGCUCUGUGAAAAGGGGGUUUAAUGCAUGUGCGUAAAGUGUCGUCCCAGAUUAGCCUGUGCAGUCCGCACAGGCUAAUCAGGGACGACACUUUCCGCUUUUAUGGUAUUUUUUGUUUACAUAAAGUCUCUUCUUUGCAAAAAUUCAAUUUAGGCGGAAAGUGUAGUCCCUAAUUAGCCUGUGUGGACUGCACAGGCUUAUCUGGGAGAACACUUUAAGCACAUGCAUUAAACCCCUUUUCACAGAGGACUGCUCAUUUUUAUGGUCCAAGUCCCUUUAUUAAUAAAAUAGAAAUCUAACCACAACACCACUUGCUUCAUCAUUAUUUGUUUUAGAAAUGAUCUUCAUCUUGCAUAUCUGACAUUCGGAGCUUGCUACUCAUAUAAAAAAAGAUACAUUUUGUUCUGGAUCAAAGUAAAUGAUACACAAGUGGUCUAAAAAGUAAAUUAUAUAAUAAAGAACCAGUAUUAUUGGAGGAUUGAACAAUGUUUAAGUCUUGUUCAAAUGCAUUAAUUUGUUUCUGUGAUACCACUUGUGUAUAAAGUUGUUUUCUCCAGACCAAGGCAUAUAAGAAGCCAACAACUUUUUUUUCUUCAUUUUCACUGGGUUUUAUAUUUGCUCAUUAUUCUGUUGUAUUAUUUUUUCCAUAAACUCAGGUAUUUUCUCUUUGUAUUGGAUCUCCAGAGGGAGGAAUUUUUUUUUUUCUUUUUAUGAAAAGUCUCCAUUAUCACUAAUUUGGUAUCUUCUGUUUUUACUAAUAACUUACUGAUUCCGGUUCUUUCUAAUUGGGAUAUAUUCAAAUAAUUGACUCAAUAAACACAAACAAGUUUU